rnacentral:rRNA from 1 species
UACAGAGGUCCCGAGCGUUGUUCGGAUUCACUGGGCGUAAAGGGUGCGUAGGUGGCGAGGUAAGUCGGAUGUGAAAGCUCGGAGCUCAACUCCGAAAUGGCAUUGGAAACUACCUUGCUCGAGGGUUGGAGGGGGGACUGGAAUACUUGGUGUAGCAGUGAAAUGCGUAGAUAUCAAGUGGAACACCAGUGGCGAAGGCGGGUCUCUGGGCCGAAAUUGACGCUGAGGAGCGAAAGCGUGGGGAGCAAACAGG